UCCGGGGGGAGCAAGCGUUGUUCGGAUUUACUGGGCGUAAAGAGCGCGCAGGCGGUCGUUCAAGUCGCGUGUGAAAGCCCCCGGCUCAACUGGGGAGGGUCACGCGAUACUGAUCGACUCGAAGGCAGGAGAGGGAAGUGGAAUUCCCGGUGUAGUGGUGAAAUGCGUAGAUAUCGGGAGGAACACCAGUGGCGAAGGCGACUUCCUGGCCUGUUCUUGACGCUGAGGCGCGAAAGCUAGGGGAGCAAACGGG
rnacentral:rRNA from 1 species